rnacentral:rRNA from 1 species
ACUCCUACGGGAGGCAGCAGUGGGGAAUAUUGCACAAUGGGCGCAAGCCUGAUGCAGCCAUGCCGCGUGUGUGAAGAAGGCCUUCGGGUUGUAAAGCACUUUCAGUAAGGGAAGGAAUGUAGUAGUUAAUACCUGCUAGCUGUGACGUUACUUACAGAAGAAGCACCGGCUAACUCCGUGCCAGCAGCCGCGGUAAUACGGAGGGUGCGAGCGUUAAUCGGAAUUACUGGGCGUAAAGCGUACGCAGGCGGUUUGUUAAGCGAGAUGUGAAAGCCCCGGGCUCAACCUGGGAACUGCAUUUCGAACUGGCAAACUAGAGUGUGAUAGAGGGUGGUAGAAUUUCAGGUGUAGCGGUGAAAUGCGUAGAGAUCUGAAGGAAUACCGAUGGCGAAGGCAGCCACCUGGGUCAACACUGACGCUCAUGUACGAAAGCGUGGGGAGCAAACGGGAUUAGAACCCUGGUAGGCUCUG